rnacentral:rRNA from 1 species
ACAUACAUACAUACAUACAUACAUACCAGUUCUCGUCUGAUCACUGAUGUCAAGCAAUGUUAAGCACGAUUAGUGCUUGAAUGAGUAACCGCUUGGGAACAUCGUAUAAUUUGUCUCUA